rnacentral:rRNA from 1 species
UACGUAGGUGGCGAGCGUUAUCCGGAUUUACUGGGCGUAAAGCGCUUGUAGGCGGCCUUGUAAGUUGGGCGUGAAAGCUCCGGGCUUAACCCGGAGAGGCCGUCCAAUACUGCGGGGCUUGAGGGCAGCAGAGGGAGGUGGAAUUCCCGGUGUAGUGGUGAAAUGCGUAGAUAUCGGGAGGAACACCCGUGGCGAAGGCGGCCUCCUGGGCUGCUCCUGACGCUGAAGGCGAAAGCCAGGGGAGCGAACGGG